UACGUAGGGAGCAAGCGUUGUCCGGAAUCAUUGGGCGUAAAGCGCGCGUAGGCGGCUUCGUAAGUCCGCUGUGAAAGUCAAAGGCUCAACCUUUGAAAGCCGGUGGAUACUGCGGGGCUAGAGUACGGAAGAGGCGAGUGGAAUUCCUGGUGUAGCGGUGGAAUGCGCAGAUAUCAGGAGGAACACCAAUAGCGAAGGCAGCUCGCUGGGACGUUACUGACACUGAGGCGCGAAAGCGUGGGGAGCGAACAGG
rnacentral:rRNA from 1 species